UGUGUAGGCGGUUUCGUAUGUCGGAUGUGAAAGCCCAUGGCUCAACUAUGGAAUUGCAUCCGAAACUGCGGGACUAGAGUACAGUAGGGGAGAGCGGAAUUCUAGGUGUAGCGGUGAAAUGCGUUGAUAUCUAGAAGAACACCGGUGGCGAAGGCGGCUCUCUGGAAUGUUACUGACGCUGAGACACGAAAGUCGGGGGAGCAAACAGGAUUAGAUACCCUGGUAGUCC
rnacentral:rRNA from 1 species